GAUGAACGCUGGCGGCGCGCCUAACACAUGCAAGUCGAACGAUUAAAGCACCUUCGGGUGUGUAUAAAGUGGCGAACGGCUGAGUAACACGUGGGCAACCUGCCCCUUUCAUUGGGAUAGCCACGGGAAACCGUGGAUAAUACCGAAUACUUCGAGACUUCCGCAUGGAAGACUCGAGAAAGCUCCGGCGGAGAGGGAUGGGCCCGCGGCCUGUUAGCUUGUUGGUGGGGUAACGGCCUACCAAGGCGAUGAUGGGUAGCUGGGUUGAGAGACCGACCAGCCAGAUUGGGACUGAGACACGGCCCAGACUCCUACGGGAGGCAGCAGUGGGGAAUCUUGCACAAUGGGCGAAAGCCUGAUGCAGCGACGCCGCGUGCGGGAUGAAGGCCUUCGGGUUGUAAACCGCUUUCAGCAGGGACGAGGCGAAAGUGACGGUACCUGCAGAAGAAGCCCCGGCUAACUACGUG
rnacentral:rRNA from 1 species